UUCAAUGGUGGUUCAGGUGGGGAAGGCUUCGGCCUUGCUGGUUUCUUGAUUCCAGUCCGCGAACCCUGCCUUGAAUCACCACCACC
rnacentral:antisense_RNA from 1 species